rnacentral:rRNA from 1 species
UUCCAGACUCCUACGGGAGGCAGCAGUGGGGAAUAUUGCACAAUGGGGGAAACCCUGAUGCAGCGACGCCGCGUGAGUGAAGAAGUAUUUCGGUAUGUAAAGCUCUAUCAGCAGGGAAGAAAAUGACGGUACCUGAUUAAGAAGCCCCGGCUAACUACGUGCCAGCAGCCGCGGUAAUACGUAGGGGGCAAGCGUUAUCCGGAUUUACUGGGUGUAAAGGGAGCGUAGACGGUGAUGCAAGUCAGAAGUGAAAGCCCGGGGCUCAACUCCGGGACUGCUUUUGAAACUGUGUGACUGGAGUGCAGGAGAGGUAAGCGGAAUUCCUGGUGUAGCGGUGAAAUGCGUAGAUAUCAGGAGGAACACCAGUGGCGAAGGCGGCUUACUGGACUGUAACUGACGUUGAGGCUCGAAAGCGUGGGGAGCAAACAGGAUUAGAUACCCCAGUAAG